GACGAACGCUGGCGGCGUGCCUAAUACAUGCAAGUCGAACGGUCUUUUCUAUGGAAGCAUGCUUCCGCUGAGAAGAUAGUGGCGAACGGGUGAGUAACACGUGGGUAACCUGCCCAUAAGAGGGGGAUAACAUCCGGAAACGGGUGCUAAUACCGCAUAGCUUUCUUGAUCGCAUGAUUGGGAAAGGAAAGACGGCCUUUGUGCUGUCGCUUAUGGAUGGACCCGCGGCGUAUUAGUUAGUUGGUGAGGUAACGGCUCACCAAGACGAUGAUACGUAGCCGACCUGAGAGGGUGAUCGGCCACAUUGGGACUGAGACACGGCCCAAACUCCUACGGGAGGCAGCAGUAGGGAAUCUUCCGCAAUGGACGAAAGUCUGACGGAGCAACGCCGCGUGAGUGAAGAAGGUUUUCGGAUCGUAAAACUCUGUUGUCAGAGAAGAACAAGUCGGAGAGUAACUGCUCCGGCCUUGACGGUAUCUGACCAGAAAGCCACGGCUAACUACGUGCCAGCCGCCGCUGUAAGAC
rnacentral:rRNA from 1 species